rnacentral:rRNA from 1 species
GAUGAACGCUGGCGGCGUGCUUAAUACAUGCAAGUCGAGCGAACGGACGAGAAGUUUGCUUCUCUGAUGUUAGCGGCGGACGGGUGAGUAACACGUGGAUAACCUACCUAUAAGACUGGGAUAACUUCGGGAAACCGGAGCUAAUACCGGCUAAUAUUUUGAACCGCAUGGUUCAAAAGUGAAAGACGGUCUUGCUGUCCCUUAUAGAUGGAUCCGCGCUGCAUUAGCUAGUUGGUAAGGUAACGGCUUACCAAGGCAACGAUGCAUAGCCGACCUGAGAGGGUGAUCGGCCACACUGGAACUGAGACGCGGUCCAGACUCCUACGGGAGGCAGCAGUAGGGAAGCUUCCGCAAUGGGCGAAAGCCUGACGGAGCAACGCCGCGUGAGUGAUGAAGGUCUUCGGAUCGUAAAACGCUGUUAUUAGGGAAGAACAUAUGUGUAAGUAACUGUGCACAUCUUGACGGUACCUAAUCAGAAAGCCACGGCUAACUACGUG